UUGUUGGUAAGGUAAAAGCUUACCAAGGCUUCGAUCAGUAGCUGGUCUGAGAGGACGACCAGCCACACUGGGACUGAGACACGGCCCAGACUCCUACGGGAGGCAGCAGUGGGGAAUUUUGGACAAUGGGGGCAACCCUGAUCCAGCCAUGCCGCGUGAGUGAAGAAGGCCUUCGGGUUGUAAAGCUCUUUCAGCCGGAACGAAACGGUUACGGAUAACACCCGUGACUACUGACGGUACCGGAAGAAGAAGCACCGGCUAACUACGUACCAGCAGCCGCGGUAAUACGUAGGGUGCGAGCGUUAAUCGGAAUUACUGGGCGUAAAGCGUGCGCAGGUGGUUUUGUAAGUCAGAUGUGAAAGCCCCGGGCUCAACCUGGGAACUGCGUUUGAAACUACAAGACUAGAGUGUGGCAGAAGGGGGGUGGAAUUCCGCGUGUAGCAGUGAAAUGCGUAGAGAUGUGGAGGAACACCGAUGGCGAAGGCAGCCCCCUGGGUCAACACUGACGCUCAGGCACGAAAGCAUGGGGAGCAAACAGGAUUAGAUACCCUGGUAGUCCAUGCCCUAAACGAUGUCAACUAGUUGUCGGGCCUUUACGGGCUUGGUAACGUAGCUAACGCGUGAAGUUGACCGCCUGGGGAGUACGAUCGCAAGAUUAAAACUCAAAUGAAUUGACGGGGACCCGCACAAGCGGUGGAUUAUGUGGAUUAAUUCGAUGCAACGCGAAAAACCUUACCUACCCUUGACAUGUAUCGAAGCCCGCAGAAAAGCGGGGGUGCCCGAAAGGGAACGAUAACACAGGUGCUGCAUGGCUGUCGUCAGCUCGUGUCAUGAGAUGUUGGGUUAAGUCCCGCAACGAGCGCAACCCUUGUCAUUAAUUGCCAUCAUUUAGUUGGGCACUUUAAUGAGACUGCCGG
rnacentral:rRNA from 1 species